GACGAACGCUGGCGGCGUGCUUAACACAUGCAAGUCGAACGGAAAGGCCCUGCUUUUGUGGGGGGCGCGAGUGGCGAACGGGUGAGUAACACGUGAGUAACCUGCCCUUGACUUUGGGAUAACUUCAGGAAAAUGGGGCGAAUACCGGAUAGGAGCUCCGGCGGCAUGGUGGGGGGUGGAAAGUUUCGGCGGUUGGGGAUGGACUCGCGGCUUAUCAGCUUGUUGGUGGGGUAGUGGCUUACCAAGGCUUUGACGGGUAGCCGGCCUGAGAGGGUGACCGGCCACAUUGGGACUGAGAUACGGCCCAGACUCCUACGGGAGGCAGCAGUGGGGAAUAUUGCACAAUGGGCGGAAGCCUGAUGCAGCAACGCCGCGUGCGGGAUGACGGCCUUCGGGUUGUAAACCGCUUUCGCCUGUGACGAAGCGUGAGUGACGGUAAUGGGUAAAGAAGCACCGGCUAACUACGUG
rnacentral:rRNA from 1 species